ACAGGUGAGUAACGCGUGGGUAACCUGCCUUAUACAGGGGGAGUAACAGUCAGAAAUGACUGCUAAUACCGCAUAAGACCACAGCACCGCAUGGUGCAGGGGUAAAAACUCCGGUGGUACAGGAUGGACCCGCGUCUGAUUAGCUGGUUGGUGAGGUAACGGCCUACCAAGGCGACGAUCCAUAGCCGGCCUGAGAGGGUGAACGGCCACAUUGGGACUGAGACACGGCCCAGACUCCUACGGGAGGCAGCAUG
rnacentral:rRNA from 1 species